AAGUUUGAGCAAGCAAUGGCUUCUACUACGGACAAUCUUGAGGCUCUCCAAUGACAGAUCACAUCCCUAAACAAAAACGGAAUGAUGUAGGGCAAUUGCAACUGGGGAAUGGGCCAGGAACAACAGUGAUAUCGAGAAGUAUCCAAACCCUGAAAAUCUUGUCUUCAGUAGAGACUGUUUCCUCUCUAUGCUCAGCCUGAAUGUCCUGGUAUUGUUGGCCAAAUUAUAAAUUUAAGCACUGCUAUCCCUUUUCAUGCAAAUAAAACAUUCUCAGCCUUUUG
ensembl:lincRNA Gm42891 predicted gene 42891